rnacentral:rRNA from 1 species
CCUACGGGUGGCAGCAGUGGGGAAUAUUGGACAAUGGGCGAAAGCCUGAUCCAGCCAUGCCGCUUGUGUGAAGAAGGCCUUCGGGUUGUAAAGCACUUUCAGUGGGGAAGAAAGCCUUGGGGCUAAUACCCUCGAGGAAGGACAUCACCCACAGAAGAAGCACCGGCUAACUCCGUGCCAGCAGCCGCGGUAAUACGGAGGGUGCGAGCGUUAAUCGGAAUUACUGGGCGUAAAGCGCGCGUAGGCGGUCUGAUAAGCCGGUUGUGAAAGCCCCGGGCUCAACCUGGGAACGGCAUCCGGAACUGUCAGGCUAGAGUGCAGGAGAGGAAGGUAGAAUUCCCGGUGUAGCGGUGAAAUGCGUAGAGAUCGGGAGGAAUACCAGUGGCGAAGGCGGCCUUCUGGACUGACACUGACGCUGAGGUGCGAAAGCGUGGGUAGCAAACAGGAUUAGAUACCCGGGUAGUC